UACAGAGGGUGCGAGCGUUAAUCGGAAUUACUGGGCGUAAAGCGUGCGUAGACGGUUAUUUAAGUCGGAUGUGAAAGCCCCGGGCUCAACCUGGGAAUUGCAUUUGAGACUGAAUAGCUAGGGUACGGUAGAGGGAAGCGGAAUUUCCGGUGUAGCGGUGAAAUGCGUAGAUAUCGGAAGGAACAUCAGUGGCGAAAGCGGCUUCCUGGACCAGUACCGACGUUCAGGCACGAAAGCGUGGGGAGCAAACAGG
rnacentral:rRNA from 1 species